AGCGAACGCUAGCGGCGGGCCUAACACAUGCAAGUCGAGCGGAGAACUUCGGUUCUUAGCGGCGGACGGGUGAGUAACGCGUAGGUAAUGUGCCUUCUGGUGGGGAACAACCGUGCGAAAGCAUGGCUAAUACCGCAUAUGUCGAGAGAUGAAAGCCUUCGGGCGCCAGUAGAGCAGCCUGCGUCCCAUUAUUUAGUCCUAGUUGGUGAGGUAACGGCUCACCAAGGGUACGAUGGGUAGCUGGUCUGAGAGGAUGAUCAGCCACACUGGAACUGAGACACGGUCCAGACUCCUACGGGAGGCAGCAGUGGGGAAUAUGCGCAAUGGGCGAAAGCCUGACGCAGCCACGCCGCGUGAGUGAUGAAGGCCUC
rnacentral:rRNA from 1 species